GAUGAACGCUGGCGGCGUGCCUAAUACAUGCAAGUCGAGCGAACAGACGAGGAGCUUGCUCCUCUGACGUUAGCGGCGGACGGGUGAGUAACACGUGGAUAACCUACCUAUCAGACUGGGAUAACUUCGGGAAACCGGAGCUAAUACCGGAUAAUAUAUUGAACCGCAUGGUUCAAUAGUGAAAGACGGUUUUGCUGUCACUUAUAGAUGGAUCCGCGCCGCAUUAGCUAGUUGGUAAGGUAACGGCUUACCAAGGCAACGAUGCGUAGCCGACCUGAGAGGGUGAUCGGCCACACUGGAACUGAGACACGGUCCAGACUCCUACGGGAGGCAGCAGUAGGGAAUCUUCCGCAAUGGGCGAAAGCCUGACGGAGCAACGCCGCGUGAGUGAUGAAGGUCUUCGGAUCGUAAAACUCUGUUAUUAGGGAAGAACAAAUGUGUAAGUAACUAUGCACGUCGUGACGGUACCUAAUCAGAAAGCCACGGCUAACUACGUG
rnacentral:rRNA from 1 species